UACGAAGGGUGCAAGCGUUAAUCGGAAUUACUGGGCGUAAAGCGUGCGUAGGCGGUCUUUUAAGUCCGUUGUGAAAGCCCUGGGCUCAACCUGGGAAUGGCAGUGGAUACUGGAAGGCUCGAGUGCGGUAGAGGAGGGUGGAAUUCCCGGUGUAGCGGUGAAAUGCGUAGAGAUCGGGAGGAACAUCAGUGGCGAAGGCGGCCCUCUGGACCAGCACUGACGCUGAGAAGCGAAAGCAUGGGGAGCGAACAGG
rnacentral:rRNA from 1 species